UAGUGAACCAAGAGCUGGAGAGG
rnacentral:misc_RNA from 1 species